CCUACGGGGUGCAGCAGUGGGGAAUAUUGGACAAUGGGCGAAAGCCUGAUCCAGCCAUGCCGCGUGUGUGAAGAAGGCCUUCGGGUUGUAAAGCACUUUCAGUGGGGAAGAAAGCCUUGGGGCUAAUACCCUCGAGGAAGGACAUCACCCACAGAAGAAGCACCGGCUAACUCCGUGCCAGCAGCCGCGGUAAUACGGAGGGUGCGGGCGUUAAUCGGAAUUACGGGGCGUAAAGCGCGCGUAGGCGGUCUGAUAAGCCGGUUGUGAAAGCCCCGGGCUCAACCUGGGAACGGCAUCCGGAACUGUCAGGCUAGAGUGCAGGAGAGGAAGGUAGAAUUCCCGGUGUAGCGGUGAAAUGCGUAGAGAUCGGGAGGAAUACCAGUGGCGAAGGCGGCCUUCUGGACUGACACUGACGCUGAGGUGCGAAAGCGUGGGUAGCAAACAGGAUUAGAUACCCCAGUAGUC
rnacentral:rRNA from 1 species